AGCCUACCACUCUUUGACAGAGAAGAUAUCAGCAGAAUGUACAUGAUGUCACAAAUCAGAGGUGGACUAUCAGAAGGACUGCAACUGGCCUGGGUUAUGCAUCAAAGUCUCAGCCUCCCCCUCUACCUAAACAAACAUCUACAUCAAGAAGGCAGUGUUACCUCUGCAGCAGGGAAGGAGAAGAGAAAGUCAGCAGAUAGUGCACGGAUCAUCUUUCAAUAGCUUCAGCUGAUCCUUGGCCUUUUCAAAGUCUUCCUGGCUGAACUGCAUGAUAGGUUUAGUUGUAUGUAACUUUACUGCAGGCAAAUGAAGACCAUACACAGUACUGCUGGGAAGAAAAAGAAAACAAAUAAAACCAGUUAACUUGUUAAAAUGAUCAGCAGAUGAAUAAAA